GACUGAUGGCUAUGACAAUAGACUGACUGACUGAUGGCUAUGACAAUAGACUGACUGACUGAUGGCUAUGACAAUAGACUGACUGACUGACGGCUAUGACAAUAGACUGACUGACUGGCGGCUAUGACAAUAGACUGACUGACUGACGGCUAUGACAAUAGACUGACUGACUGACGGCUAUGACAAUAGACUGACUGACUGAUGGCUAUGACAAUAGACUGACUGACUGAUGGCUAUGACAAUAGACUGACUGACUGAUGGCUAUGACAAUAGACUGACUGACUGACGGCUAUGACAAUAGACUGACUGAUUGCUAUGACAAUAGACUGACUGACUGAUGGCUAUGACAAUAGACUGACUGACUGAUGGCUAUGACAAUAGACUGACUGACUGAUGGCUAUGACAAUAGACUGACUGAUGGCUAUGACAAUAGACUGACUGACUGAUGGCUAUGACAAUAGACUGACUGAUGGCUAUGACAAUAGACUGACUGACUGAUGGCUAUGACAAUAGACUGACUGACUGAUGGCUAUGACAAUAGACUGACUGAUUGCUAUGACAAUAGACUGACUGAUGGCUAUGACAAUAGACUGACUGAUGGCUAUGACAAUAGACUGACUGACUGACGGCUAUGACAAUAGACUGACUGACUGAUGGCUAUGACAGUAAACUGACUGACGGCUAUGACAAUAGACUGACUGAUGGCUAUGACAAUAGACUGACUGACUGAUGGCUAUGACAAUAGACUGACUGAUGACUAUGACAGUAGACUGACUGACUGAUGGCUAUGACAGUAGACUGACUGACUGACUGAUGGCUAUGACAAUAGACUGACUGAUGGCUAUGACAAUAGACUGACUGAUGGCUAUGACAAUAGACUGACUGACGGCUAUGAAUACAGACUGACUGACUGAUGGCUAUAGGUACAGACUGACUGAUGGCUAUAGGUACAGACUGACUGAUGGCUAUAGGUACAGACUGACGGCUAUAGGUGCAGACUGACUGACGGCUAUAGGUACAGACUGACUGGUGGCUAUAGGUACAGACUGACUGACUGCUACAGACUGACGGCUACAGGUACAGACUAGCGGCUAUAGGUACAGACUGACUGACGGCUAUAGGUACAGACUGACUGACGGCUAUAGGUACAGACUGACUGAUGGCUACAGGUACAGACUGACUGACUGCUACAGACUGACGGCUACAGGUACAGACUGACUGACGGCUACAGACUGAUUGACGGCUACAGACUGACUGACGGCUACAGGUACAGACUGACUGACGGCUACAGACUGAUUGACGGCUACAGACUGACUGACGGCUACAGGUACAGACUGACUGACGGCUACAGACUGACUGACUGAUGGCUACAGGUACAGACUGACUGACGGCUACAGGUACAGACUGACUGACAGCUACAGGUACAGACUGACUGAUGGCUACAGGUACAGACUGACUGACUGCUACAGGUACAGACUGACUGACUGACUGCUACAGGUACAGACUGACUGACUGACGGCUACAGGUACAGACUGUCUGAUGGCUACAGGUACAGACUGACUGACGGCUACAGGUACAGACUGAUGGCUACAGGUACAGACUGACUGCUACAGGUACAAACUGACUGACGGCUACAGGUACAGACUGACGGUUACAAGUACAGACUGACGGCUACUGGUACAGACUGACUGACGGCUACAGGUACAGACUGACUGACUGCUACAGGUACAGACUGACUGACUGCUACAGGUACAGACUGACUGACUGCUACAGGUACAGACUGACUGACGGCUACAGGUACAGACUGACUGAUGGCUACAGGUACAGACUGACUGACUGCUACAGGUACAGACUGACUGACGGCUACAGGUACAGACUGACUGAUGGCUACAGGUACAGACUGACUGAUGGCUACAGGUACAGACUGACUGAUGGCUAAAGGUACAGACAGACUGACGGCUACAGACAGACUGACGGCUACAGACUGACUGACUGCUACAGGUACAGACUGACUGACUGCUACAGGUACGGACUGACUGAUGGCUACAGGUACAGACUGACUGAUGGCUACAGGUACAGACUGACUGACGGCUAGAGACUGACUAAUUUUU